UACGAAGGGGGCUAGCGUUGUUCGGAAUUACUGGGCGUAAAGCGCACGUAGGCGGAUUUUUAAGUCAGGGGUGAAAUCCCGAGGCUCAACCUCGGAACUGCCUUUGAUGCUGGAGAUCUUGAGUUCGGAAGAGGUUGGUGGAACAGCUAGUGUAGAGGUGAAAUUCGUAGAUAUUAGCUAGAACACCAGUGGCGAAGGCGGCCAACUGGUCCGAUACUGACGCUGAGGUGCGAAAGCGUGGGGAGCAAACAGGAUUGAGAA
rnacentral:rRNA from 1 species